ensembl:lncRNA
GUGUGUGGGUGUGUGUGUGUAUAUGUGUGUAUGUGUGUGUGUGUGUCUACGCAUCUUGCAUCCUGUGUCUGUGUAUGCAGAUGCACUGACUGGUUUGUGUGUGUGUGUGUGCAGUCACUGUGAUUGUGAUUUAAAUGACAUUUCUGACUCGUGCUCAAUGUUAGUGGUAAUUUUGCAUUUACAUUUUCCCCAGAGUUUACAAUGGGAUCAUAUAUUCUACCUCUCAAUUUGUCUAAUGAGCGUUUUUUUCAUUACAUUAAAAGAACAUGGAGAGGGGGAUAGAUGGAUGGAUAUAGACAGAGAAAAAUAAAGAGAGACAAGAAGGCAGGACAGAAAGACAAGGAGAAAGACAGGACAGAGUCAAGAAGAAAGACAGGACAGAGUCAAGAAGAAAGGCAGGUCAGAGAGAUAAGACAAAAGACAGGACAGAGUCAAGAAGAAAGACAGGUCAGAGAGAUAAGACAAAAGACAGGACAGAGUCAAGAAGAAAGACAGGUCAGAGAGAUAAGACAAAAGACAGGUCAGAGUCAAGAAGAAAGACAGGUCAGAGAGAUAAGACGAAAGACUAAGCCGAGGCCCCAUGAAACCAUCAAAGCCACAGUUUCAGUCACAAUCUGUGGUGAAUCUGAGCAACAACUACUGGUAUAUGAAGGCAUGUGUGAGUAGACCUCAGAAAUCUGUGUUGCCAUUGGAGCAGCACAACAAUGACAGGUCAUGUUUUAAGUCACAUCCCACACUACGUACAGUGGUCCAGUGUGUUGCCCUGAAUAGAAAAUACAUGGUGUUACUCUAGACGCAGCCACAGUUACAGACAUGACCGUGAGCAAAUAUGUUGAUGCCUUUUUACCGUCCAAUCCACCAUAAACACACCAUUUCCAUGCCCUUUCCCUAUGUCUUCAAACAAUGUGCCAAUGUUCUCUACCUUUGGGUUACAUAUCAUGAUUUCAAGUGCCAUUUAAAAAAAAUUAAAUGUUAUUAUGUAAAAGGCAUUUUAUGCCUUUUACAUUUGAUUUUGUGAUGUUGUACAAUUUCUUCAAACAGGUACAGUGUUACAUCCUGUGUGCAGCGAUCAGGAACUUCACAACGUCGCCUUCAUAUAACCCGUUGAAUGUUGGUUUUCUUCUAUAACUCUUUGCCUUUGCCACUCUCAUACAUUUGACACACUUGACUUGAAAUGCUGGUAAGACUGAACGUCUGUGUCUAUACAAAAUGUAAUCUGAAUUGGAUUAAGUUGUUCCUGUAAUACUCUAGCACUGAAGUGAUUGCCCCCCCCGCCACCUUCACCUCACUGCCAUAGAGAGGAACCUUCAAGUCAAAGGCUACAUACUGAAUGAAUAUACUCAUUUGCUGUGCAGUAAUAUGUCAUGGAAAAGCACAAAAAUGUUUCUUUAUCUCAUUUGAAAAGGAGUGUAUCUACUGUAUAUUCUUGUAAAUAUUCAAUUUAACGGUAUCUUAUCCAUUUUGUUUUGAGGAUUCCUUUUUCAUACUUGACACAGGCCUUUCUCUGAUGUGUGGGGUGAAUGAGAUGUAAGUACAAUAAGUACAGUAUUCAAACCACCUACCUUUAAAUGCUGAGGGUAGCUGUUUUGUUUCUUCAUAGUAGAACAGCAGUCUUGACCAACUGAGCUGUAUGAAAAAAGUCUGCAGUUGAUUUGACUUAUGACUUAAGGCUGUACACAUACACACAUACACACACACAUACACUCGCAUAUACUAAGCAUUUAGGGCCGGUUUUGUGGACUCUAGCCUGGGACUAAAAGAUCAAACUCAAUAAAAGAAACGGCCCUUAAUGUGAGAGUAUACAGCAGCAGUAAGGCAAUAUGGAGACCCCUGUUAUUAUAUUCUCUAUUAUUCUAAUAAAACCUUAAGAUAUAUUCAUCUCUGUUGUAUCUUCGCACAGUGUUCAUUUUACUAAAUUGAUAUGUCAUUCUCAAAUGUGCCUGAAUAUUUUUCCUAAUCUUACAAAAGUGACCUGUGGAAUGAAUGCAUAUGGAAGACAUGGGAAGGCAGGACAAAAAGAAAGGAAGACUUGACAGAUAAGUUGAAAGACAUGACAGAGAAAUGAGAAGACAGGACAGUAAUAAUAUAGACAGGCUGGAGAGAUAGGAACCUGUGGAAGGCACAUGGUGUUUUGACUCCAGAGCAUCAGUAUUAUUGUCAUGCCUGCUUUCCCCUUUUACGGAUAUCUGGUUCUCAACGAGGCUAAAUUAAGUCCAGUGCACUGAGGCCAUGGCUAUAGUAACAUUUCCCAAAAAUGUUUUACUCUGACACUGUUUAUAAUUAGUCAAACGUAUUGAGGUUUGAUGAUUGUAAACUAUAUAUUAUUGUUUAAUUAAUUACAUUCAAUUUGAAUCUCUGAAACAACGUCAGAUCGUCGAUGUUACACUGAACAAAAUUAUAAACACAACACUUUUUGCCCCCAUUUAUCAUGAGCUGAACCC